AAAUCCAAUAACUCCUUUAUUUAAACUUGGAAUCUAGCAAGCAAUUGAAACUUACAAAAAGUGUAGCCGCAAAAGUGCUCUCUUUAGUUGUGAUCGCCGAUCCUCAAAUGCUAUCCGUACGCGUGUGUUAUGACAAAAAGAGUGACAAUAGCUCCCAAAUCAAUACCUUAACUUUGAGUGCCUAUAUCUCCUUCAUUUAAACUCCAAACCAUAUGAAAUUUGCACCAAAACCAUAGCCAAAAAUCCAAACUUUCUGACCUUAGCCUUCAAAGCUCAAAUGGCUCUGAAAAACUAACCCUAAUCUCUAAUAUGGCCUUAGGUAGCCUCCUCAAAGCCCAUUGGUCAUGUUUUUUGACCAAUAAGAAUAGAGAUUUUUAUCAUCCAUCUCCAUUCAUCUAUAUUGGUACCUUAAUUAAUCUUUUUUCUACCAAAAUCCUUCUUCAAUCCUUUUUCUUAUAAUAUUUACAUAAUUUAUGCUCUAAA
rnacentral:lncRNA from 1 species